rnacentral:rRNA from 1 species
GUGGGGAAUUUUGGACAAUGGGCGCAAGCCUGAUCCAGCAAUGCCGCGUGCAGGAAGAAGGCCUUCGGGUUGUAAACUGCUUUUGUACGGAACGAAACGGUCCGGGUUAAUACCCUGGGCUAAUGAUGGUACCGUAAGAAUAAGCACCGGCUAACUACGUGCCAGCAGCCGCGGUAAUACGUAGGGUGCAAGCGUUAAUCGGAAUUACUGGGCGUAAAGCGUGCGCAGGCGGUUUUGUAAGACAGGCGUGAAAUCCCCGGGCUCAACCUGGGAAUUGCGCUUGUGACUGCAAGGCUGGAGUGCGGCAGAGGGGGAUGGAAUUCCGCGUGUAGCAGUGAAAUGCGUAGAUAUGCGGAGGAACACCGAUGGCGAAGGCAAUCCCCUGGGCCUGCACUGACGCUCAUGCACGAAAGCGUGGGGAGCAAACAGGAUUAGAUACCCCUGUAGUCC